rnacentral:tRNA from 1 species
GGGCAGGUAGCUCAGUCGGUAGAGCAGUAGACUGAAAAUCUACGUGUCGUUGGUUCGAUUCCGAUCCUGCCCA